CCUGGCCACACUCCAAUCCCAGGAACACUCCAAUCCCAGGAACACUCCCUAGGCCUCGGCCUUGAGAAGGUGCACCUGGAGCUUAUCAGCAGCCCAAAGUGAGACCCUCUGAGCUCUCCCGGACCACAGCAGCUGCAACCAGCAACCUCCCUCUGCCUGGGACAUCUCUCAGAGCCAGUGAACUCUCGAGUUUGCUCUGCUCAGAGGAUCACUGAAUGAUCAGCACCGGCUCCAGGAGGACGGAUCACAGCAUCAGAAACUCCCUGGAAGCCUGCCAAAGAAGCUUUGUGCCCUUCCCAGCGAAGAAGAAAACAAGGGGAACUAGCAAUGCCUGAAUGCUGAUUGUUUGAGUAAGGAGCAAAAUGAGGACUGUGAAAUGCAGUAGAAUCAUUACCUAUACCACAGUGGAAGUCCUGGAGAAUGAAUGAACUCAAAAAGAAGAACAGCUGCCUGAGGCACCAAUGCAGAUGUGUGACAAACUAUUUAAGGAGAUA